rnacentral:rRNA from 1 species
GACCCGUAAUCCGGGUUGCGGACAGUGUCUGGUGGGUAGUUUGACUGGGGCGGUCUCCUCCUAAAGAGUAACGGAGGAGCACGAAGGUUGGCUAAUCCUGGUCGGACAUCAGGAGGUUAGUGCAAUGGCAUAAGCCAGCUUGACUGCGAGCGUGACGGCGCGAGCAGGUGCGAAAGCAGGUCAUAGUGAUCCGGUGGUUCUGAAUGGAAGGGCCAUCGCUCAACGGAUAAAAGGUACUCCGGGGAUAACAGGCUGAUACCGCCCAAGAGUUCAUAUCGACGGCGGUGUUUGGCACCUCGAUGUCGGCUCAUCACAUCCUGGGGCUGAAGUAGGUCCCAAGGGUAUGGCUGUUCGCCAUUUAAAGUGGUACGCGAGCUGGGUUUAGAACGUCGUGAGACAGUUCGGUCCCUAUCUGCCGUGGGCGCUGGAGAACUGAGGGGGGCUGCUCCUAGUACGAGAGGACCGGAGUGGACGCAUCACUGGUGUUCGGGUUGUCAUGCCAAUGGCACUGCCCGGUAGCUAAAUGCGGAAGAGAUAAGUGCUGAAAGCAUCUAAGCACGAAACUUGC